rnacentral:rRNA from 1 species
UACGUAGGGGGCAAGCGUUGUCCGGAUUUAUUGGGCGUAAAGAGCGUGUAGGCGGCCAGACAGGUCUGCUGUGAAAACUCGAGGCUCAACCUCGAGACGCCGGUGGAAACCGUUUGGCUAGAGUCCGGAAGAGGAGAGUGGAAUUCCUGGUGUAGCGGUGAAAUGCGCAGAUAUCAGGAGGAACACCAAUGGCGAAGGCAGCUCGCUGGGACGGUACUGACGCUGAGGCGCGAAAGCGUGGGGAGCAAACAGG